rnacentral:lncRNA from 1 species
CGUUCAUCUGAGGGGACAGUAGCUACUCAAACACACACAACGACGCGGAUGAAUCUCAAAUGCGUCGUGCCAGGGAAAGAAGCCAGGCUCAAAAUGGUACACAGUGUAUGAUUCAAUUUAUACGACAUCUUGCAAAGGCAAAAUGAUAGGGACAGAAAACAGAUCAAUGGGUGCAAGGAGCUGAAGGGAGGGGUGCUGACCACGAAGAGGCAGCAGGAGGAAAUCUGGUUGGUGAUGGAGAUGCCCUGUAUCUUGAUUGUGGUGAUGGUUACACAGCUGGAUGUUUAUCGCGGCUCCCAGAACUGUAGGCUAAAACAGGCGAAUUUCACCGUAUGUAAAUGAUAUCUUAAACAAAAUGAAAAAAACAAAUCCAUGGGCUGGAAUUGCGUGGGGGGCUGCCAUUUUGUGAUCUCCACCCUACACCACACUCAAAAAACUAGAACAUCUAUCCUCCAUAUCAUAAACACACAGCAAACCCAGCGUUGAUUACGUGGGAGGGUCCGUGGGUGUGGCUGGUGAAGGAAGAGAUGAGGGGAAGGAGCUGGCUGGCUGGGUCUUGAGCCUUGCCUAGUCCCAUCAUGACUGGUGGGGUGACCCUGGGCAAGUGGCCUCCCCUCGACCAGCCUCAGUGUUCUCUCUUUAAAAUAGGGGCAGUGGUACCUUUCCUCACACUGCUGCUGUCAGUGUGAAAUGUUGUCAGUGUUGUUGAGCAAAUGGCUAAGGCUCACCCUUAGCCCACUGGCCAAGCUGAGCAAAAGCAAAUUGUGACUUGCUCUUUCUCCUGCUGGGACCCUGGAGAAGCCCUAGGGCAUCCAUCUGUAGAGACCAGAGAGGGACACAGCCCACCUCCCAGCACCACCUUAUCACAGGCCCAAACCCUCGAAAGAGGACCCUGCAGUCUACCCUGCGGCCGCUGCUGGAAGGCGGAGUGAGGGUGACGUCCAAUCCUGACCAGACCCAGCUUCUCUUUUCUAGGUGCUGGAAAUACAGCUGUGGACAAAACAGAGUCCCUGCCCUCCAAGAGUGCACAGCCUACAGAAGGGAGCUAGAGAAGGAACAGACGCGAAAGCUACGAAGUGUCACAUGACAGCCAGAGCUGAGGGCAAAUAAAGCAGGGUGAGUGGAGACCA